AGAGUUUGAUUCUGGCUCAGGAUGAACGCUAGCGACAGGCUUAACACAUGCAAGUCGAGGGGCAGCGAGGGAGUGGCAACACUUCUGUCGGCGACCGGCGCACGGGUGAGUAACGCGUAUGCAACCUGCCCUUCACAGGGGGAUAACCGGGAGAAAUUCCGACUAAUACCGCAUACGUCCUCCGGGGGCAUCCCCGGGGGAUGAAAGAAUUAUCGGUGAAGGAUGGGCAUGCGUGAUAUUAGGUAGUUGGCGGGGCAACGGCCCACCAAGCCCACGAUAUCUAGGGGUUCUGAGAGGAAGGUCCCCCACAUUGGUACUGAGACACGGACCAA
rnacentral:rRNA from 1 species